AAGGUGGGGAGGGAGUGGUGAAAGAGUUAGGUUAAGUUGAAAUGAAAACUUUACUCACCAGAUCCUCGAAGCUUCUUCGGUGCUCUUUCCCCUCCCAAUCUAAGCGGCGCGGAAUCAGCUGGGGGCCGGACGAAAAGAAAGGGGGAAGCGGAGGCAAAUGAUGAAGGAAAAGCCUCCGCUCCCCAUCAACUGGACCCAACCUGUGUCCCAGUCCUCAACACUUUACCGUCUUUAUUUCUCUCGGCCUGAUAGCUAUUGGCUCAGAGCUAGACGAGUAUAUGGGGGGGGGGAAGGGGGGUCGAGAAGGAAAUCCUGAAAAACUGCCUCCCACAAGCAUAAAGCGGGGACGAGUUAAGACCCCAGCGUUGUCUGCCCCUUUUGAGGGAAGAAGCCAAUUCACCCCGGUGACAACAGCUACGGGUACCCAGAUCGAAGCCUCUAUCCCAGCCCGUCUUCCGCCCCUGACUUGCCCUCCCCUUCCUCCAGUCUCACCUCAACCCUCCCCACCCUUCCCGAAGGGGCUCCGUACCUGAUGCUCCUCGAGCUCCUGCACUAGCACCUGAGCAAAAGGGAAACACAGAUAUGAGGAGCAGCUCGGGCCAUCAACCCAUUCCUCCCUCCACACUUAAAGCCCAGCCGCUGACCGUUUGACUAGUCAAGGCCGGCCUUUCCCUCACCCUCAACGGAACUGCUCGUCCCGCUGCCUCGAUUUCCCCACUGGGACCAUUCACCACGACUCCCAGAUCUCUUUCUUCCCCUUACCUGAGCGGAUUUGUUGCAGGGUCCAGACUGCAAGAACCUAGCGAUCAGGUCUGCUGGAGUUUGCUGGAGGUCCACUCCAGACCCUGUUUGCCUGGGUAUCACCAGCAGAGGCUGCAGAACAGCAAAGAUCACUGCCUGUUUCUUCCUCUGGAAGAUUCCUCCCAGAGGGGCACCCACCGGAUGCCAGCUGGAGCUCUCCUGUAUGAGCAUUAUUUACAGUAGCCAAGAUAUGGAAUCAACCCAACUGUCCAUCAACAGAUAAAUGAAUAAGGAAAAUAUGGUAUAUACACAGUGGAAUACUAUUCAUUCAUUGAAAAGAAGGAAAUCCUGCCAUUUGCAUCAACAUGGAUGAACCUGGAGGAUAUUAAGUGAAACAAGCCAGGCACAGGAAGACAAAUACCACAUGCUUUCACUCAUAUAUGUGGAGCAUUGUACCCUGGAAUGCCAGUUCCUUGAUGAAGAGAUUGGAUUUUUUUGACUGAAUUCUAUAUACUUCUCCAAGUACCUGGUAUUUAGCGGCCUCUCAGCUAUUACUAAUACUUGUUUGGUCCUGGAGAUGUUUAAUAAUUACCUGUUGCUUUUUCUUGAGGAUAGCAGUCAAGUAGAAUGAAGACUGCUGAGGUGAAAAACACACACAAAAGCCUAAAUAGCCGAGAGUCCUCAGUUCACUGGAGGCUCCAGAUAUCUUCACAAUUGUAAAGACAAAAACAAAAAAUUUGAAAAAUACCAAAAGGAAAAACAAGUGCAAACCAAAACAGGGAAUGACAAAGGAAGCCAUCUGAAGAUGCCUUCAUCAUCUGAACAUUUCUCAGUUGCUAUUUUACUUUUUAAAAGUAGACUGUUAUUUAAGAGUCAAUUGCUUUUAUCUGUGCCUCAUCUCCCCUAUUUAUUAUGUCUCCUCAAGGCAUUGGACAAUGUUAACCACAUUCCUUUUAACUCCCCAGAACAUUGAGUCUUAUGCAUCAAGUGAGAGCAAUUUAUAAGCCCUUCGUUAUGUUUUCCCGGAAACUAGAUGAAAGUGUUUUAAGUAAGGAGAAAUCACUUAAAAUGGUAAGCUUGUCUAUUUCUCUGCAUGGUUGAGGACCUCCAGCUGCUCUGGGCUGCUGUUUGUGUCCUGCCAUUCCUGCAAAACUUCUGCCUGAUAUCUGCCUUCACCACCACCCUACCCAAAGCAACUCUGAUUCUGGGAAGCUGAGCUCUCUUUUUUCAGGGCAAUUUAUCUCUCCCUGUGCCCUGGGAGAGGCCAGACAACAGUCCUGAGAGACGCUGCCAGCAAGUUGUUUAUGCCAGGAGAGUGUUGCCCUACCUGUGGCCUCACUGCAGAGCCCUCUAUGGAGAGGGGAUGUAUCUGAUUCUGAUGUUCUUUUACAAAUCAAAUUUCUGCAUUUUAAUUUUUGUACCUCUUCUCAGACACUGCAUUGUAUGAUAGAAUAUUUAUUUUAUUAUUUAAAAUGGUGAAUUAACUAGCACAUUGCUUUUUCUAUCUUAAUAACGACUAGCUUAAUUCUGUAAAAUUAUAAUGUAAGUCUUGAGUGAAGUAGUCAUUGCAGUAUUUUAUAAUCCUAGUCAUAUACCAGAGCUUUCUCAAGGGGAAAAGUAUUAUAGUUAUCUCUUCAAUAUUUGCUUGUGUGAAACAGUUAUUAACACCGUUUAUAGCUAACCCUGUCUGUAGUGACUGUUUUGAGAACCCUAAAUCUCUAAUUUAAAGGCCCAAGAUUUUAUCAGUUUGUAUGGAACCUGUGUUUGCUCCUCAGUCCUGGUUUCCUAAUAAACUUAUGAAGAUAUUUGUGAUGGA